rnacentral:rRNA from 1 species
UACAGAGGUCUCAAGCGUUGUUCGGAUUCAUUGGGCGUAAAGGGCGCGUAGGCGGCCAGCCACAAGUCAGUUGUGAAAUCUCCGGGCUUAACUCGGAAAGGUCAACUGAUACUGUGCGGCUAGAGUGCAGAAGGGGCAACUGGAAUUCUCGGUGUAGCGGUGAAAUGCGUAGAUAUCGAGAGGAACACCUGCGGCGAAGGCGGGUUGCUGGGCUGACACUGACGCUGAUGCGCGAAAGCGUCGGGAGCAAACGGG